rnacentral:rRNA from 1 species
AGCCUGCCCAGUGACUACGGGUUCAACGGCCGCGGUAUUUUGACCGUGCAAAGGUAGCGCAAUCACUUGUCUCUUAAAUAGAGACCUGUAUGAAUGGCUAGACGAGGGCUUAACUGUCUCCCCCCUCCAGUCAGUGAAAUUGAUCUAUCCGUGCAGAAGCGGGUAUAAUUAUACAAGACGAGAAGACCCUUUGGAGCUUAAGGUACAAAAUUUAACCAUGUUAAACGACUCCAUAGAAAGCAAGAACUUAAUGGUGAAUAAAAUUUUACCUUCGGUUGGGGCGACCACGGAGGAAAAAGAAGCCUCCGAGUGGACUGGGCUAAACCCUAAAGCCAAGAGAUACACCUAUAAGCCGCAGAACAUCUGACCAAUAAUGAUCCGACUGAAAAGCCGAUCAACGAACCAAGUUACCCUAGGGAUAACAGCGCAAUCCUCUCCCAGAGUCCAUAUCGACGAGGGGGUUUACGACCUCGAUGUUGGAUCAGGACAUCCUAAUGGUGCAGCCGCUAU